UGCUGCUGUGUGGACUUCUCGUUGGCAGCCAGUGUGUUGAAGAGCUGCUUGAGGGAUGGGCAGCUGGACACAACGUCUGGGAUCCCCUCCAGAGUCUGCAGUAAACACAACUUUGACUGAAGCUGAGUUGGCAUGAAGGAACAAGGUGCUGCAAAGGUUCAGGAGUGACUUGGUGGGAUGAGCAGAUGGCAGUGAGUGAUGAUGUGAGGAAGUAAGUGAGGCUGUACCUAAAAAUGGGCAUGCAUGUGAAGAGAACUUAAGAGGUGUUGUAUCAGUCAGGAGGAGGUACCAAGUGAGAAAGGUAAAAAAGAACAUCAGAAAAGUUCAUAAUACAUGAAUUGUGAAUGAACAGUACAUUGUUGAGCAGGGGUUUUGACCUUUUAAAUCUUAUGUACUCCUUGAAGUGUUUCAGUAUUGGUUAUAACCCUUACCCACAAUGCAGCAACGGUGGUUACUAUAUUAUGGGUUUGCAGGUUGUGUGGCAAUUUGUAGUCCUAGAGAGCCUUUUCUCAAGUGACAUACAACUCCAAGAGUUUCCUUGUUAACAUUGUCACUGUCCUGGUUCUAGUGGAGGACACAUUUAGCCUACUUUCUACAAACAAGUUUGCAGUUAUUGAAAACUGAAGUGUUUUGAGAGACCUGUCACAUACCCAAAGCUCAGAAUCCUUGUUGUUGGUAGAAAUUUAUUUUGUUUGAAAAGAUAUUCAGUGUUGUGUGUCUAGACUUCUUGUGAGGAGUAUCAGCCUGGUAUUUACAGUCAGUGACAUUUGCAAUUAGAGUGCAUUGGUGAAGAAAUGAAGCAAUGAGGGACAUGAGAGUGUGCCUCACCACAAGCAUGGUGGUGGGCUGCCACAAAAUGUUUGAUAGCAUCUCAUAAGUAUCAAGAGAUGGCAAAAAAGUGUAUUCUCAGCUUACGGCUAAACAACAACAAAAAAUAAAUAUUUAUGGUCGGCCCACCACCAUGUUUGUGGUGAGGCACAUCCUCAUGUUCGUCAUUGCUCCAUUUCUUCACCAAUGCACUCACAAUCUUUUGUCUUUUUUAGUGCAAUAGUGAUACAGCUUAUUGCUUCUAUUUGUUUCACCAAGGAGUGGUCACAAUAGACGACUUUCCCUUAAGCACUGACUCCGUUACUUUAUGCUUUCUAAACAUACACGAGGGACUGACCUAAGUAGCCAUGUAGUUAUUUUCUCCCGGCAAAUUUUUUUGAGUGAGUUGCCAGUUUGUGCAAUGUAACUAAUGCUUGCAUCAGCAGGAGUUCCAAUCACAAAUAUCACUGACUGUAAAUGAAUGAUAUUGUGGAGAGUAAUGUACUUAGGUACUGAGAGAGAGAGAGAGAGAGAGAGAGAGAGAGAGAGAGAGAGAGAGAGA